AUAUGGAAGUUUCUGGGUCAGGGAUUGAAUCUGAGCCACAGCUGCGACCUAUGCCACAGCUGAGGUAAUGCUGGAUCCUUAACCCACCGUUCCAGGCCGGGGAUGGCACCUGUGUCUCUGCAGCAAUCUGACCCGCCUCAGAGACAACACCGAAUCCUAAACCACUGCGCCAUAGUGGGAACUCCAAAAAUUCAUCAUCAUUAUAAUUGUGGCUAUGUGAGAAGACAGAGCAUAAUGUCAAGCCAAAGAAGCUCUGUUCUCUGAACCCCAGAUGUUAGAAUUUUAGCCAAACACUCACCUUAAAACUGGCAGGGCAGAACUCAUUAUGCUAAAAGGAAGAGUCUGUGGGCUCCCUGAAGGCACUAAUUGGAUGAAAGGAGGAAGGAACGAGGCUAUCAACAGCUAUAAGUUUCUGCUUCCUACCUCAGAUGUGAGAUAAGGCACUGCCCUUCCUGUUCGUCCAUCUUUUGUCAUGGUUGCUCCUCUUGGUGAUGGAGCUAGCGGGCACCAUGCACAAAGGAUGCUAGUUAGGCAGUUAUGGUAGUUCAACAUGACUCAUUGGGGCUUCUCAACCAAGGCAGUCAGCAUGUACAGAAGAGGACCCAUUUCAAGAGGAUGCAGAUAGAAGAUAGCCAUCUGCAAGCCAGGAAGAAAACCCUCAUCAGGCACAGACCAGACUGGCUCCCUGAUCUUGGAUGUCCAGCCUCCAGGACUGCAAUUUAUACCUGAGUUAAUGAAGAAAUUUCUCAGCAUUGCUGGAAGCUCAUAGUAUGGGCUCUAAAAACAUAAGGUAAGUUAGUGAAUGAGACUUUUCUACGUAACUUUAAAAAUAGUUUAAUGAUGCGUCUGAACAGCGAUAUAAAAUUUAUGCAUUGUUUAUUCUCUCUCAGAAUAUAUUUGAGUGCCUUCUCUGUUUCAGGCACUGGACCAGGCACUAAGGAUACUCUUGGUAAAAGCCAAUGUCAUAGAAAUAUUUCUUGUAAUCAGGGGUGAUGUUCAAAUAUUUAACAGCUCAUACAUCCUAAUCCCAUACAAUGUGAAGUAAGGCCAGCAGGAAACAACAAAUUCUGCUGGAUCACAUACUAGCUGAGUGUCUUUAAGACCCACCUCUUCUUGGUUUCAUUACUUGUAGCCUCUGGGCCAUUCGCUGGAGAUUUUCACUUGUCCUUCAGUUGAGAGCAGGACAGCUGGGUCUCCCACCUUUGCUCUGUGUCCUCUGUUCCUGAGAUUCUGCAGUGUACCAGGCCCUUUGACUUUCCACUGAUCCUUCAAGCACUUCAGCCUUUCAGUCCCCAGGUGCCAGUUUGAAUUCUGAGUCUUCUACUUUCUCAGAUUCCAGUGAUCCUCUUUUUUCUUUCUCUUUCUUUCUUUCUUUCUGUCUGUCUGUCUGUCUUUUUAGGGCCAUACCCAUGGCAUAUGGAAGUUCCCAGGCUAGGGUCAA